rnacentral:pre_miRNA from 1 species
AUCACGUACUGCUGUUGCCUUUUUGUGCCUGUGCUGGUUAAGCCUAGCAUAGGCACCAACAAGCAACAACAGUAUAUGAA